GAGGAUUUUUUUGCUUCUAUGAAGAGAGGUGAAGGGCAGAAACAAUCGUUCAGUAUUGGUUUUGCCGCGAGAGGUCCUGGAGGCAGUUUGCACCCCGGAGCAGAGAGAGCGGCCCCGUUUCGCUUCUCCCCUCGCUGGCUUGCUUCCUCCCCCUUGCCUCCUCCCAGGCGCAGCACUGAGGACCCCAGCAUCAGGCUGGGCAGGAGCUCGUGUCUGUGAGUGUCUGUGCCCUACCUCCAUCUAUUUUGUGCAUCUGUUAGCAAGAUGUGCCCUGAGGUAUCAGAAGAGCCUAGAAGAGGUUAUUUUUUGGGUCUGGGCAUGCUCAACAUUUUUUCUGUGUCACGGUAAGUCUUCGAUCAGUUUGGAGUUUAUUCUUGUGCAUGGAAUAAGAGUUUAUUUAUUUAUUAGAGAGAGAAAAAACACAAGCAGGAGGAGAGGGCAGAAGGAGAAGCGGGCUCCCCACAGAGCAGGGAGCCAGAUGUGUGACUCGAUCUCAGGACCCUGGGAUCAUGACCCAAGCUGAAAGCAGAUGCUUAACCGACUGAGCCACCCAGGCGCCCGAAGAACUACCUAACAAAUCUCAAAAGCACGAUCUGAAAGGACUGAAGUAUUUCCAAGUGACUCAGAUAGUUUUUCUGAAUCCUGCACCAUGCACCUGGAGUUGGGGCUGUGACAGUCUGUCCCUGUUUGGGGAUUUGAACUAGCCCUUGACCCAGAAGAGCCACUUCUGUUCAAUCUAGACACUGGGCCAGAUGCUGAAAACUUGGAUCCUUCUACCCAAACCAAACAGAAGAUUCCAAAUGGAGGCUUUAGAUGGGGCAUCAUAAGGAUGUGAGAGGAUCCUGGGGGGAGAAAUAAUGAAGGUCCUUGGAAGGGUAUGGGAAAUGACUGUCGCGCCCAACAGCAGGGAGAGGUAUUUGUUGUUGUUGUUUUAAUUUCUUUUCAGCAUAACAGUACUCAUUGUUUUUGCACCACACCCAGUGCUCCAUGCAAUAUGUGCCCUCCUUAAUACCCAUCACCUGGCUCCCCCAACCUUCCACCCCCUGCCCCUUCAAAACCCUCAGGUUGCUUUUCAGAGUCCAUAGUUUCUCAUGGUUCACCUCCCCUUCCAAUUUCCCUCAACUCCCUUCUCCUCUCCAUCUCCCCAUGUCCUCCAUGUUAUUUGUUAUGCUCCACAAAUAAGUGAAACCAUAUGAUAAUUGACUCUCUCUGCUUGGCUUAUUUCACUCAGCA